GAUGAAGAACGCAGCGAAAUGCGAUACUUGGUGUGAAUUGCAGAAUCCCGUGAACCAUCGAGUCUUUGAACGCAAGUUGCGCCCGAAGCCUCGGCUAAGGGCACGUCUGCCUGGGCGUCACGCAUCGCGUCUCCCCCAAACCGCCAAGGCGGAGGGGAAGGAAGAUGGCUUCCCGUGCCUCACCCGGCGCGGUUGGCCUAAAUUUGGAGCCCGCGGCACUUAGCUCUCGCGGCGAUAGGUGGUGAACAAGGCCUUGGCCGUGCAAUCAACCCGCUGCGAAGCUCUAUGUCACGUGCGCUCGUCGGACCCUUUGAAGUUGCCUUCGGUGACUUAAAACCUUUGCGACCCCAGGUCAGGCGGGGCUACCCGCUGAAUUUAAGCAUAUCAAUAAGCGGAGGA
rnacentral:misc_RNA from 1 species